rnacentral:rRNA from 1 species
UGGGGAAUAUUGCACAAUGGGCGCAAGCCUGAUGCAGCCAUGCCGCGUGUAUGAAGAAGGCCUUCGGGUUGUAAAGUACUUUCAGCCGGGAGGAAGCUGUCAAGGUUAAUAACCUUGGCAAUUGACGUUACCGACAGAAGAAGCACCGGCUAACUCCGUGCCAGCAGCCGCGGUAAUACGGAGGGUGCAAGCGUUAAUCGGAAUUACUGGGCGUAAAGCGCACGCAGGCGGUUGAUUGAGUCAGAUGUGAAAUCCCCGGGCUUAACCCGGGAAGUGCAUCUGAUACUGGUCAGCUAGAGUCUUGUAGAGGGGGGUAGAAUUCCAUGUGUAGCGGUGAAAUGCGUAGAGAUGUGGAGGAAUACCGGUGGCGAAGGCGGCCCCCUGGACAAAGACUGACGCUCAGGUGCGAAAGCGUGGGGAGCAAACAGG